rnacentral:tRNA from 2 species
GCCCGGCUAGCUCAAUCGGUAGAGCGUGAGACUCUUAAAAAGGUCCAUCUCAAGGUUGUGGGUUCGACCCCCACGUCGGGCU